rnacentral:rRNA from 1 species
UAAUACAUGGAGUCGAGCGGCAGAAGGGAGCUUGUCGCGGAUGUUAGCGGCGGACGGGUGAGUAACACGUGGGUAACCUGCCUGUAAGACUGGGAUAACUCCGGGAAACCGGAGCUAAUACCGGAUAGUUCCUUGAACCGCAUGGUUCAAGGAUGAAAGACGGUUUCGGCUGUCACUUACAGAUGGACCCGCGGCGCAUUAGCUAGUUGGUGGGGUAAUGGCUCACCAAGGCGACGAUGCGUAGCCGACCUGAGAGGGUGAUCGGCCACACUGGGACUGAGACACGGCCCAGACUCCUACGGGAGGCAGCAGUAGGGAAUCUUCCGCAAUGGACGAAAGUCUGACGGAGCAACGCCGCGUGAGUGAUGAAGGUUUUCGGAUCGUAAAGCUCUGUUGUUAGGGAAGAACAAGUGCGAGAGUAACUGCUCGCACCUUGACGGUACCUAACCAGAAAGCCACGGCUAACUACGUGCCAGCA